rnacentral:rRNA from 1 species
AUUGAACGCUGGCGGCAGGCCUAACACAUGCAAGUCGAACGAGUGGCGGACGGGUGAGUAAUGUCUGGGAAACUGCCCGAUGGAGGGGGAUAACUACUGGAAACGGUAGCUAAUACCGCAUACCCUCGGAUGUGCCCAGAUGGGAUUAGCUAGUAGGUGGGGUAACGGCUCCCCCAGGCGACGAUCCCUAGCUGGUCUGAGAGGAUGACCAGCCACACUGGAACUGAGACACGGUCCAGACUCCUACGGGAGGCAGCAGUGGGGAAUAUUGCACAAUCGGCGCUAGCCUGAUGCAGCCAUGCCGCGUGUAUGAAGAAGGCCUUCGGGUUGUAAAGUACUUUCAGCGAGGAGGCGUUACUCACAGAAGAAGCACCGGCUAACUCCGUGCCAGCAGCCGCGGUAAUAC